AGAGUUUGAUCAUGGCUCAGAGCGAACGCUGGCGGCAGGCUUAACACAUGCAAGUCGAACGGACCCUUCGGGGUUAGUGGCGGACGGGUGAGUAACACGUGGGAACGUGCCUUUAGGUUCGGAACAACACAGGGAAACUUGUGCUAAUACCGGAUGUGCCCUUCGGGGGAAAGAUUUAUCGCCUUUAGAGCGGCCCGCGUCUGAUUAGCUAGUUGGUGAGGUAAAGGCCCACCAAGGCUACGAUCAGUAGCUGGUCUGAGAGGAUGGCCAGCCACAUUGGGACUGAGACACGGCCCAAACUCCUACGGGAGGCAGCAGUGGGGAAUCUUGCGCAAUGGGCGAAAGCCUGACGCAGCCAUGCCGCGUGGAUGAUGAAGGUCUUAGGAUUGUAAAAUCCUUUCAGCGGGGACGAUAAUGACGGUACCCGCAGAAGAAGCCCCGGCUAACUUCGUGCCAGCAGCCGCGGUAAUACGAAGGGGGCUAGCGUUGCUCGGAAUUACUGGGCGUAAAGGGCGCGUAGGCGGACAAUUAAGUUGGGGGUGAAAGCCCGGGGCUCAACCUCGGAAUUGCCUUCAAUACUGGCUGUCUUGAGUAUGGGAGAGGUGAGUGGAACUCCGAGUGUAGAGGUGAAAUUCGUAGAUAUUCGGAAGAACACCAGUGGCGAAGGCGACUCACUGGCCCAUUACUGACGCUGAGGCGCGAAAGCGUGGGGAGCAAACAGGAUUAGAUACCCUAGUAGUCC
rnacentral:rRNA from 1 species